CUCAAAUGCAUGCACGCUCCGCAGCUGCUCUUUAAAACUGUUCCACUGAACUAUACACCUGCCAGAAUACAUCAUUGAAGUGUGUCACCCUGAAAAGAUCCGUCUGGAAACAUGGCCUUCAUCUCCCACAGCAUGUGACUGAACAGCAAGGACAGUUUGGUCAAGCUUCUCCUGAGAGUGAAAGACACAGCAGACUUUCAGUUCUGAUGCCAGAAAUAGAAAUAGGUAUACUAUGCUUAUAAAUGAAAAUGUAUUCUUCACCACAUGGUAAAAAAAAACAAUGGGUGAGGUGUGAAAGUUUGUGAUAAAAGUUAGUGCUGUGACGAUCCCUGCCCUUUCCUGCCAGCCUGUUCGUCUGUCUCUGUUUCAGAUGUCUGGUGGGUGGGGCAGGGGAUUACUGCACCAACUGGUAUCACAUGGGCCUGGUGUUACCAGCUGCUGCUCGCCGUCCCUCUCUCUCCUUCCCUGCGGGCAGCCAUUUAGUUAGGGUGCUGUAGUCCUUUGUUCUUUCCGUGUUCUUUGUUUUCAUGCACUUACAACACUUGCACACACUCCCCAUGCUCAUGCACAUUCUACGCUGCGGAUUCUACUGAUAUUCAUACUAUAACUGGAUUAUUGUGUUUUGUGUUUAAAUAUCCUCAGUUUGUUAAAAAAACUAUUUCUGUUUUGCUGCUGAAAAUGGUGUCUUCUGCAACUUUUGUCAUGACAUUUGUAUCUGCUGAAAAACCCUAAAUCUUUUAUCAUUUCUGUUUGCAUUUUAUUAGUGUGCCUUUUUAAAAUGACUUUCUUGAAAUUUUAUGUAAUUACAUAAAGUAUCACAGGCAUAGUGUUAAGAUACAAUUCUAUAACCACAUUUUUUCAGAGGAAACAUAACGCUGUUGUACAUUUGAUUGUAUUAUAUAAUUGAAGUUUAGAAAGCAUUGCUGAUACUUUCCGUAGAUACACACAUACACAAUUACACACAAAAGGUAGUCCAGCUUGCAAACAGGAUGCUCUCUGCUGCAUGCAUGUCUGUGAAUACCACAAAAUGUUCCAGUGGCCAGUGUGUUACCUCAGGGCAGUAGUCUCAGCACUCCUUGAAGUGACUAAACUUAUUUUUAUUUUUUGAACAACUGUUUUUGUACACAAGUUCAUCUUUUUAAAAAAACUCUUCAAACAUGUUUCUCUGUCAACAAGAAACUUGGUACAACACUCAAAACUAAUACAACCAAAGCUCUAUAUGCAAAAUCAGUUCAACAACACCAGUGUCAGAGAUUCGUUGACAACAAUAACACGUGUACGAUGUAAAACACAGAUAAGUAAAAACUGUUAAAUAAAAAAUUUUAUAAUUUA